GACGAACGCUGGCGGCGUGCCUAAUACAUGCAAGUAGAACGCUGAAGGAGGAGCUUGCUCUUCUGGAUGAGUUGCGAACGGGUGAGUAACGCGUAGGUAACCUGCCUGGUAGCGGGGGAUAACUAUUGGAAACGAUAGCUAAUACCGCAUAAGAGUAGAUGUUGCAUGACAUUUGCUUAAAAGGUGCAAUUGCAUCACUACCAGAUGGACCUGCGUUGUAUUAGCUAGUUGGUGGGGUAACGGCUCACCAAGGCGACGAUACAUAGCCGACCUGAGAGGGUGAUCGGCCACACUGGGACUGAGACACGGCCCAGACUCCUACGGGAGGCAGCAGUAGGGAAUCUUCGGCAAUGGACGGAAGUCUGACCGAGCAACGCCGCGUGAGUGAAGAAGGUUUUCGGAUCGUAAAGCUCUGUUGUAAGAGAAGAACGAGUGUGAGAGUGGAAAGUUCACACUGUGACGGUAUCUUACCAGAAAGGGACGGCUAACUACGU
rnacentral:rRNA from 1 species